UACGAAGGGGGCUAGCGUUGCUCGGAAUCACUGGGCGUAAAGCGCACGUAGGCGGGUCCUUAAGUCGGUGGUGAAAUCCUGGAGCUCAACUCCAGAACUGCCUCCGAUACUGAGGGCCUCGAGUCCGGGAGAGGUGAGUGGAACUGCGAGUGUAGAGGUGAAAUUCGUAGAUAUUCGCAAGAACACCAGUGGCGAAGGCGGCUCACUGGCCCGGUACUGACGCUGAGGUGCGAAAGCGUGGGGAGCAAACAGG
rnacentral:rRNA from 1 species